rnacentral:rRNA from 1 species
GGGGAAUCUUCCGCAAUGGACGAAAGUCUGACGGAGCAACGCCGCGUGAGUGAUGACGGCCUUCGGGUUGUAAAGCUCUGUUAAUCGGGACGAAUGGUUCUUGUGCAAAUAGUGCGAGGAUUUGACGGUACCGGAAUAGAAAGCCACGGCUAACUACGUGCCAGCAGCCGCGGUAAUACGUAGGUGGCAAGCGUUGUCCGGAAUUAUUGGGCGUAAAGCGCGCGCAGGCGGAUUGGUCAGUCUGUCUUAAAAGUUCGGGGCUUAACCCCGUGAUGGGAUGGAAACUGCCAAUCUAGAGUAUCGGAGAGGAAAGUGGAAUUCCUAGUGUAGCGGUGAAAUGCGUAGAUAUUAGGAAGAACACCAGUGGCGAAGGCGACUUUCUGGACGAAAACUGACGCUGAGGCGCGAAAGCCAGGGGAGCGAACGGGAUUAGAUACCCCGGUAGUCCUGGCCGUAAACGAUGGGUACUAGGUGUAGGAGGUAUCGACCCCUUCUGUGCCGGAGUUAACGCAAUAAGUACCCCGCCUGGGGAGUACGACUGCAAGGUUG